rnacentral:lncRNA from 8 species
GACUGGCUGAAGUGAAAGUGACAUCUUGAGUGGUGUAAGCACAGAGACUAAACAUGUCAGACGUAGAGGACAUGGAUACAUCAACCACAGAGAUGGACAGAAACAAUGAAGUCUCUGGACCAGAACAGCAACGGACCCCUUACCCUUCGCAAAUACAGAUUCAUGUGCCCACAGGAACAUCCAGUGGCCCUGCAACAGUGAUACAGUCACAGCCUCAACGGUCUAGUGUUUCUCAAAGUGCUUUUACUUAUAAGGCAGAAAUAUCCGAGGACGUGUCUGAAGAAGACGCAAGUUCAUCAGCCCGAGAUACUGCCGAUCGGUACUCUGGGACUUCUGGAGGAGGGACACCUUCAGCAACCUGUGUUAAUAUCCCAAGCUCUGAUAAUGACCCAGACCUGUAUCAAGCGGAUAAUGACUUUAAGGUGAAGCAUCCCUCAGCACCCCUGUAUGACCCCAGACACUUUGGCAAUCCUCAGUCAUCCUCUUCCAAAGAGACGAGUGUGGAUUCUCCUGCUGAAGGAGAUAAUGGCUCUACUAGAAACAAACAAUCACAGCGAGAUCAACAUUCUCCCAUCAACCCCCAAAGCACUCAAGAUGAGGACCCAGAC